UACGGGGGGGGCGAGCGUUGUUCGGAAUCAUUGGGCGUAAAGGGUGCGUAGGUGGUGCUGUAAGUCUGACGUGAAAUCUCUGGGCUUAACCCAGAAUCCGCGCCAGGAACUGCAGUGCUCGAGUGUGGGAGAGGAGAGUGGAAUUCCCGGUGUAGCGGUGAAAUGCGCAGAUAUCAGGAGGAACACCGGCGGCGAAGGCGGCACUCUGGGCCGGUACUGACGCUGAGGAGCGAAAGCGUGGGUAGCAAACAGG
rnacentral:rRNA from 1 species